rnacentral:rRNA from 1 species
GACAGAGGAUGCAAGCGUUAUCCGGAAUGAUUGGGCGUAAAGCGUCUGUAGGUGGUUUAUCAAGUCUUGUGUCAAAUCCUAGGGCUUAACCCUGGUAAGGCAGAAGAAACUGAUAGACUUGAGUUCGGUAGGGGCAGAGGGAAUUCCCGGUGGAGCGGUGAAAUGCGUAGAGAUCGGGAGGAACACCAAAGGCGAAGGCACUCUGCUGGGCCUUGACUGACACUGAGAGACGAAAGCGAGGGGAGCGAAAGGG